rnacentral:sRNA from 1 species
GUUCCUGUCUCUGAAAUGCCUGAACACAAGAUCCAGUCAUCUGGGGGCCCACUGCAGGUGAUGGGCGCUUCUCUUCCAGAGAUCUAAUCCCAUAUAACCAAUCUUGGGUUAAUUUCCUCUUGAUCUGGAGAUGGCCUUUCUGCAUCUGUAUUCGCUAGGCACAGGGGAUACAGAGAUGAAUAAGACACCGCCCUCCCUCAUGGACCUCACAAUCUAGUGAGGGAGCUGGACACAGACAUAAUUACAAUACAGAGUGAUAAAUGCUCUAGUGGAGAUAACAAUGAAGAUGGUGCCAAAACUGCUUUCUCCUUUGGUUAAAGAUUGGGCUCCCAAAGCAUUUAUAAUUUCCUUUAAGUUGGAGACUGACCCCGCCAUUGUAAUUAAUCGAGCUCGGAAGGCUUUGGAAAUUUAUCAGCAUCAAGUGGUGGUGGCUAAUAUCCUUGAGUCACGACAGUCCUUUGUGUUUAUUGUAACCAAAGACUCGGAAACCAAGUUAUUGCUAUCAGAGGAAGAAAUAGAAAAAGGCAUAGAGAUAGAAGAGAAGAUAGUGGAUAAUCUUCAGUCUCGACACACAGCUUUUAUAGGUGACAAAAACUGAAGUAAAAAGCCCUUAUAGGAUCAAAAAUUGUUCAGGGCUCUUAGAGAUGGUGAAAACUACAAAAAAACCAUGGCUUUCAUAUGGACAGA